AUGGCUCUUCUCCAUGACAGAGUCACCCUGCCUUGCCAACCAUCAGAGAAGCCAGAUUCACAAAGGCCCAGAUGGCUCCCAAAGUACCCCCAGAGCCAGACGUCAGACCCAGGAAAAACAAGACCAGCCCAGGACCAGAUGCACCUGCCGCCAGUGCCAUUAUGGCAUAUUAUGGAGUGUGAAGUAGCCACCCUGCCACAUGAAUCCUGGAAUAAUUCUAUGAAAGGAGGAACUCAUAUUCAAAUCCUUUGUCUCCAGUCUCAGAUCAUGAAAGUUUUCUGCUGUCUUUGGAACUUUGUCAGCGAACAGCUUGAAGGAGAUCAAUCAGCCCAAGGCUCAUCAUCAGCUGCCAUGUGGGAUCAGCCAUGACUUCGGCAAGCAGCGACAGGGACAGCAGUGUCUGCAAAGCCCACUUUGUAUUUUCAAUGCAUCCAAAACUUUGUCUUCCUGGAGCAUAGGCUCCUUUGCCUAUGCACCCUUGUCUCUGGAGCUCAGUUUAUCCCAAAGGAGCUGGGUGUGGGGUUCACACCUGUAAUUCCAGCAGUCUGGAAUCAAAAGUAGAAAAGUUGUGAAGUUGAGGCUGUCUGGGCUGCAUAGUGAGAAAUUAUGUCAAAACCAAAGGGGGCUGCAGAAAUAAAUUGGCAAAAAGCCUGUACCGCUUUUCCAGAGGACCCAUGUUUGGCUACUCACAACUGUCUUUAACACCAGCUCCAGGGACUCUGAAAUUCUCUUCUAGCCUCAUCAGGAACCUAUGUUCAACACACACACACACACACACACACACACACACACACACACACACACAAAUAUUGAGAUUUGGGCAUGAUGUCAGAGAUCUUUAAUCCCAGCACUCAGGAGACAGAAACAGGUGUCUCUCUGAGUUUGAGUCCAGCCUGGUCUACAUAGCAAAUUUCAAGCCAGGCAAGCUACUGUCUUUUAAAAAGAUAAAAAUCUUGAGGCUGAAGUGAUGGCUCAGCAGUUAAGAUGGCUCUGAUCUUCCAGAGGACCUGGGUUUGAGUCCCUGCACACACAGGGGCUCACAGACAUAUGUAGCUCCAGUUCCAGGGGAUCCAACACCCUGUUCUGGCCUCCAUGGGCACUGUACAUAUAUGGUACACAGACAUACAGGCAGACAAAACACCUAUACACAUAAAAAUAACUUCUUUAAAACCAAACAGGGGAGGAACAUAAAAGGGGGAGAAGAAGAAAUAACAAAGAGGGCUGUGAAUGUGCUCAGUUAGAGUGUUCAGCCUUCAGAAGCCCUGGGUUUGAUCCCCAGCACUGCAUAAACAAGGAGUAGUGCUCAACACCAAUAAUAGCAUCACUUGGAAGGUGGGAGCAGGACAAACAGGAGUCAUUCGUGGUUACAUAAUCAGUUCAAGGCUAGCCUGGGCUAUAUAAGAG
rnacentral:lncRNA from 1 species